rnacentral:rRNA from 1 species
GACGAACACUGGCGGCGUGCUUAACACAUGCAAGUCGAACGGAAAGGCCCUGCUUUUGUGGGGUGCUCGAGUGGCGAACGGGUAAGUAACACGUGAGUAACCUGCCCUUGACUUUGGGAUAACUUCAGGAAACUGGGGCUAAUACCGGAUAGGAGCUCCUGCUGCAUGGUGGGGGUUGGAAAGUUUCGGCGGUUGGGGAUGGACUCGCGGCUUAUCAGCUUGUUGGUGGGGUAGUGGCUUACCAAGGCUUUGACGGGUAGCCGGCCUGAGAGGGUGACCGGCCACAUUGGGACUGAGAUACGGCCCAGACUCCUACGGGAGGCAGCAGUGGGGAAUAUUGCACAAUGGGCGGAAGCCUGAUGCAGCAACGCCGCGUGCGGGAUGACGGCCUUCGGGUUGUAAACCGCUUUCGCCUGUGACGAAGCGUGAGUGACGGUAAUGGGUAAAGAAGCACCGGCUAACUACGUG